rnacentral:rRNA from 1 species
GUUCCAGCAGCCGCGGUAAAACGUAGGAGCCAAGCGUUAUCCGAAUUCACUGGGCGUAAAGCGUGUGCAGGCGGACUGGUAAGUUGGAUGUGAAAUCUCCCGGCUCAACUGGGAGAGGCCGUUCAAUACUGUCAGACUAGAGGGCAACAGAGGGAGGUGGAAUUCCCGGUGUAGUGGUGAAAUGCGUAGAUAUCGGGAGGAACACCAGUGGCGAAGGCGGCCUCCUGGGUUGUACCUGACGCUCAGACACGACAGCUAGGGGAGCGAACGGGAUUAGAAACCCCCGUAGUCC